AGUAUAAUACUGCAAAUUCCCUUUACAGUAAAUAACUGCAAUACCCUUUGUAUCAUGGGAAUUUCCAGUGACGUCAAACCCCACAUACAGAGACUUACUGUAUUUUUUUAAAUUGCUGUAUACUACUGUAUUUCCUGUAACGGCCUCUUUGGCGCCAUUCUAUUGAGGUUGUUUUAUUUUCCUCAUUUCUUACAUUUGAAUUGAUACGAUUUGCACAACACUGUUUCUACAAUGACGCAACAGCUUGGGACUUACUACACUGGAUGUUUUACAUCGCUUGUAAUGACUGGAAAAUCCGUUUGUCCUUCAUGUCCGAAACAGCGCGAGCGCUUGGAGUACAUCUGUAGGCUAUAAGUCAGAAAUAUACGGGGGCAUCACUUCACUGUCCGCAUCCACUGUAGGUAAUAUAAUAGGUUCUAUAUUGUCUUUUCGAGUCACGCUGCGCCGCGCCACUGGCGUCCGAGGAAGACACAGAGGCAGCGGGGCAGCGCCGCGGGUUUUGCACGGGGAUGAACCCGCGAGAGUGGAAGAGCUCCGGAGGACAUCUGCGCUGUGUGUGGAUGCACCUUACCUGCAAGCAAGGCAACUGCAAUGAAGCAUCAAGAAAUUCAUGAGCCUGCCAGCCACCCCGAGACUGAUUAUUCAUGAGAAGACUUUUCUGUCACUAACAAAGUGGAUGGUGAGCAAAGGUGGUGGCCACAUUUUGGAGCAGCACCUGGGUUUUGCAGAUGGCUAUGUAUUUUUGUGAGGAUAAAUCCAGAGGAUACUACAUAAUCCACUGCAAAACGUCCUAAGACAGGAGAAAUGGUGA